rnacentral:rRNA from 1 species
AUUGAACGCUAGCGGGAUGCUUUACACAUGCAAGUCGAACGGCAGCGCGGACUUCGGUCUGGCGGCGAGUGGCGAACGGGUGAGUAAUGUAUCGGAACGUGCCCAGUAGCGGGGGAUAACUACGCGAAAGCGUAGCUAAUACCGCAUACGCCCUACGGGGGAAAGCAGGGGAUCGUAAGACCUUGCACUAUUGGAGCGGCCGAUAUCGGAUUAGCUAGUUGGUGAGGUAACGGCUCACCAAGGCGACGAUCCGUAGCUGGUUUGAGAGGACGACCAGCCACACUGGGACUGAGACACGGCCCAGACUCCUACGGGAGGCAGCAGUAGGGAAUUUUGGACAAUGGGGGCAACCCUGAUCCAGCCAUCCCGCGUGUGCGAUGAAGGCCUUCGGGUUGUAAAGCACUUUUAGCAGGAAAGAAACGACGCGGGCUAAUACCCCGUGGAACUGACGGUACCUGCAGAAUAAGCACCGGCUAACUACGUG